rnacentral:tRNA from 1 species
AGUAGGGUGGCUGAGAUAUUAAAGGUGAUAAAUUGUAAAUUUAUUUAGGAACUAAUAGUUCCUCUACUA